rnacentral:rRNA from 1 species
CGGCUGGUCAAGUCUGGGGUUAAAGACCACAGCUUAACUGUGGGGGGGCCUUGGAAACUGACCGGCUGGAGUGGGGCAGGGGUUGCGGGAAUCCCGGUGUAGCGGUGAAAUGCGUAGAUAUCGGGAAGAACACCUGAGGCGAAAGCGCGCAACUGGGCCCUAACUGACGCUGAGGUACGAAAGCUAGGGGAGCGAAUGGGAUUAGAUACCCCAGUAGUCCUAGCCGUAAACGAUGGACACUAGACGUUGGCCGACCAACCCGGUCAGUGUCGUAGCUAACGCGUUAAGUGUCCCGCCUGGGGAGUACGCACGCAAGUGUGAAACUCAAAGGAAUUGACGGGGGCCCGCACAAGCGGUGGAGCAUGUGGAUUAAUUCGAUACAAACCGAAGAACCUUACCUGGGCUUGACAUCCACGAGAAACGCUUAGAAAUAGGCGCCUCGGGAAACCGACCCGUGGACACCGGUUGCAUGGCUGUCGUCAGCUCGUGCCGUGAGGUGUUGGGUUAAGUCCCGCAACGAGCGCAACCCCUGUCCUCUGUUGCCAGCGGGUCAUGCCGGGCACUCUGAGGAGACUGCCGUGGUCAACACGGAGGAAGGUGGGGACGACGUCAAGUCAGCAUGGCGGUUACGUCCAGGGCGUCACACAUGCUACAAUGGCCACGACAAUGCGUUGCCAAGCCGCAAGGCGGAGCUAAUCGCUUAAACGUGGUCUCAGUGCAGAUAGGGGGCUGCAACUCGCCCCCGUGAAGGCGGA